GACGAACCGUGCGAACGUUAUUCGGAAUCACUGGGCUUAAAGCGCGUGUAGGCGGGACGGCACGUCGGUCGCUGAAAGCCCCCGGCUCAACCGGGGAGGGGCACCGAUACGACCGCCCUGGAGGGACGUAGGGGGACCUGGAACUUCCGGUGGAGCGGUGAAAUGCGUUGAGAUCGGAAGGAACGCCCGUGGCGAAAGCGGCUCACUGGGGCUUUUCUGACGCUGAGGGACGAAAGCUAGGGGAGCGGAC
rnacentral:rRNA from 1 species